rnacentral:lncRNA from 1 species
AUCUAGUAAUUGUCUGCAUGGAGCUCCAAAUGGCGUUGGACAAGGUUCAGUCCUACCAACUUCACCUUCAGGUGGAAGCACAGAUUCCUUGGGUGCAAGCAGAUCUACUCCUUCAGUUUCUGGUUUAAGUACCUCUAACUUUGUCUGGGGAAGUGCUUAUGCAUGUCAACAACCGUCUUGCUUGUUGAUCCAAGCUUGUGGUCUUCUAUUAGCUCAGCUUCCCACUGAAUUUCACUCGCAACUUUAUUUGGAGGCUACGCGCGUAAUUAAGGAGAGUUGGUGGCUGACUGAUAUAAAGAGGUCAUUGGGUGAAGUAGACUCUGCUGCUGGGUAUGCAUUGUUGGAUCCAACUUGGGCUGCACAAGAUAAUACCCCAACUGCCAUUGGUAUGCAUACGUUACUAUACCUUCUCAGCAGUAGCUCUUUUUUUUUUGGGGUCAGAUUCUCAGCAGUAGUUAGGGACACCUUUUGCAUAUGCAUGCCCUCAAAUAGUGUUCAGCAAACAAGUCCACCUUUGCUUAAAAUUUAACUUCGCCUUACAUUAAAAAUCCUCUUCAUGGUUUUUGUUAGAAGCAACUGUAAUAUGAUUAUAUUACCCUAAUACUAUGUUUGGAAAACAUGAUGGGAGAGGAGAAUGCAAAGAAAAUGCCCACUUAUAAAAAAAUUUCCUCCUCUACAUACAAGAAUUAUAAAAUGUUGAAAUAUUUACCAUCCAAAUUUUUGUUCACCUCCAUUUUCAUGCAAUUAUCAUAUGUUGUAAACAAAUCAAAAAACAGUCAGUGUAAUAAAUCCAUAGGUGGAAUAUGUCCUUGUGUGCAUCAUUGUCCUUAUGAGCUCUUGGUUUUCUUUACACUGGACUAAUUUCAACUUAAGCAUGCAAGGUUAUGAUCAUCCGGUUAGUAAUGAUUCUACAUGGGAUUUUCCACUGAAAACAUUGGGUCAAUUUUAACUUACUGUCUUCCUUGAUGUUGCAAUUUAAUAAACGACUCUUCAUUUUGUUGUGCGGUCUACAUAUACUCAGCCUGACAUGUAAAAUUCAUGAUGUGUUGCUGUUAUUUACCUGAAUUUUAUUUUGUGGACUCUCAAAUCAUAAUUAACCCAACCCAUGUCCAUCACGAAUAUCUGGAUAAUGGUACUGAUCUGUAUGUGUGCUUGUGUGAUUUGUAUUCUACACGUGUGUCAAUAUUGAAUGAAAAAAAAUCCUGAAACCUAGAAUAAGUAAGUUUAGUUCCAAUAAAGAAGGCCCUGAUAAGUGGAUUCAGUGAAUUCUCAGUCGAUUCUAUAUAUUAAUGGUUCAAAUGAAUCUUCUUUUAUUAUUUAGUUCCAAAUCCAGGAUGUCCAUGAGUUAUGGUCCAGAGCAUGAGCUUGCAUUUGUUUGCUAUUCUGAUAAUUGUCCUUUCAUGCACUAUCUAGGUAACAUAGUUGCGCUGCUUCAUUCCUUCUUUAGUAAUCUCCCGCAAGAAUGGCUGGAUGGGGCACAAGCGAUCAUCAAACACCUCAGACCAAUUACAUCCGUUGCAAUGUUGAGAAUAGCAUUUCGUAUAAUGGGUCCAUUGCUUCCAAGACUUGCCAAUGCUCACUCCCUUUUCAACAAGGUAAAGGAAGUGAUCCCUCUUCUUCUAUUUGGAUACUUCUGUGGAAAAUGCGACAUAGAGAAAUGAAGCUCAGUGUUCAUUCGAGUAUGUUUCUUUACUAUUUAUUAGUUGAGAAACAAAAUCAGAAUUAAAACUUGAAUAGGGUAAGAAGUUCGUGGAUCUUUAAACUUUUUCUUCUUAAAGGUUGGAAGUUUUGAAGGAAAAUGAAGUUAUCUCACAAUCACAAAGUUUGAGUGGUUAGACAGGAAACAUAAAACAGAAUCUAUCCUUCCCUUUUGCCACGUUUAAGAGUUGAGAGGGUGGAGUAACAAAGCACUAGCCUCUCUCACGCGGUCUUAUAGUAGAUAGAAGGCCUUUUGCAGUGAUAAUUUCAUAAGAUUGAAGUUUUAAAAAAAAUUAACCGUGUUGAUGUCUAUAGCCCAGAUAGUGAGUUUUCUUCUAUUGUGUCAUUUCUUUAUUUCAGCUGUCAACCUUGUCAUUUAUAUUUUUGUUUUUUGCUUGUCUAGUGUAAAGCUAUACCAGUUUGGUCAUAUCCCUAUAUAUUAAGGUUAAAUGACUAAUUACAAGAAACAUUUUCUGAUGACACAAAUGUCCUGAUUCCUAUAAAUGGUUUGAAGUGCAAGACAAUGGGAUAAGUUGACUUAUUGCUUUUGUUCCUUGAAGUUGUCUUCCCAUCUUCUUUAUCAUGCUCUGUACUCUGAGCUUCAAAGGAGACUUUUUCAGGAGCAUGCUUGAUAACUGGAAUAUUCUUCUUUAAGUUCCUACUUGCGCUUUUAUUUUUUAUACUUACUGAUCCUCCUCCUCUUCAAACCCUAGUGAGUUCUUUCCAAAGUCUUAUGGCAGGAUGCUGCAUUUUUCAAGUAAUUGUAAUCAGUGUUUGUUUAAAACUCAUCGUUCUGUCGACAGUACUUAAUGCAGAUGGUGUUUCAGCAAUAGUGAAUGUAAAGCUGUGUACUUAUUAAGUGUUAUCAGUUAAUGUAUGAUACUCUCAAAGUCAUUUUAUUUUUCACUAAGGGAGAGAACAUGAACAGUAGAACUUUGAUGUGUUCAUUAAAUUACGGUGUACAAUAAUCUAAGGCUAGAUUUAGUUGUCCGGAUUUCUAAUCAGGAUAGUAUUGGAUAGGAUAUGAUAUGAAAUUCUGGAAUUUUUCUAUAUAUUAUCAAUUAUUUGGUGAAUUGCAAUAUUAAGGUCGGAUAUAUUCACAUCGUAUCAUGUACAUUUUUUUGAUAUAAAUGACAUAUCAUUGUAAAUGAACCUAAAAUUCUUGAACUGAGAUAAUAAAAAUCUCUCGUGACACUAUUCUCUAAUUUAUUUUUAUUUUUGUUUUAUUUUUCCUAUCUUUUUAAAUUAUUUUCUUUAUUAUUUCUUUUUUCCCCUUCCAUCAUUCUUUAAUAAAAUUUUAUCAAAUAGUAAACUGUAUUAAUAUGCCUAAAAUAUGUAAUAAAUAUAAAUAAAUAAUUAAAAGAUUGAAUGUAUAUUAUAAGAUAGAAUUAAUGUUGAAUAUAUAAAUUAAUAUAAGAUUAAAAUUUAAAAAAUAAUUUUUUAUUUUUUAUUUUUAAUUUCUUAAAUUAGAAUUAAAAUAUUAUUUAUAUUGAAAUAUAACUUCAAUUUUGUUAAUUUAAUAAGUUUGUUAUUCGAGAAAAAUAACUUUUCUAUUAUGGACGUUAUAAAUCUUAUCUACCUUUAUCCCACUUUCCCCAUGGAUAAUUUUAUCCGGCUUAUAUUCCCCUUAUAUCUGACUUCAUUUUGUCCUGAGCAAGUACCAAACAUAAGAUAGGAUAAAUCAUAUCCUAUCCCAAAUUUUAUCCUGAGUCAAACGCAGCCUAAAGGUGUAUUCUAUGUAUAAAUGGUCAUUUUUCAUGAUUCUCUAUCAAUCUAUUAUCUGUGAUUGUCAACUCUUUCUGCGCGUCAUUAAUUUGAUCUAUUAUGUGGUAUUUUGCACCUACUUAUUAAACUAAGUUGUUUCUUAUUCUUCUCACUUCCAGAUACUUACAUUGUUGUUAACCACAUUGGUGGAUGUCUUUGGGAAGAACUCACAACCCUCAAACCACGUUGAAGCAUCAGAAAUAAAGGAUCUCAUCGAUUUCCUGUAAGUGGUUUUUCCUUUUGUAUGGUUAUCCAGGCAGAACAUUGCAGAUGUUUUUGGUGCAUGAGGUUUUGGAGAAGUGCCUCGGUUAAUUACUCUAUAGCGUUUCCCAAAAGGUGCUCAGUUUAGAAUUUGACAAUUCUUUGCAUGCGCAUGACAUAUCAUCGUAAAUUUUGUAUAUAGGAAGACUCAUGAUUUUAUCCCAAACUUUGGUUCAAAAUCUUAUCCAUAACAAAUCUUUUACUUCUCUUUUCACCAGAAUUGCAAGCAGUGGUAUCUGUUCUCGUCUAAUUAAAUGUACGCUGAAAUGAGAGUUGCAUCUGCUGCCUAAUGGAUGUCUUCUUAAUUGUUCUACCAGCCAUCAUGUCGUCCAUUAUGAAGGUCAGGGAGGACCUGUGCAGGCGAACAGCAAGCCCAGACCUGAGGUACUUGCUCUCCUUGGUAAAGCAUCCGAGAGACUUAGACCAGACGUGCAGCACCUUUUUUCUCACUUGAAACCUGACAUAAACACUUCCAUCUAUGCCGCCACCCACCCGAAGCUUGCACAAAAUUCAGGACAAUGAAAGCAUCUAUAGUCGACACCUGGAGCCUCAUAUGUUUGCUCAAUAAAAUUAUAAGUGGCUCCUCAUUUUGGCCGUUUCUCCCUCUUAUACAUGCUUGCAUUUGAAAGCAAAAGAGUCGCUGCUUCUGAAGCAUGAAGAUAUGCAAGUCUACUUGGUGCUGACCUUGGCGUCAUAAAUAGCCUGCAAACUGUUCGCUGGAUACUCUCAGGUAAUCUCUUCUGUAAAUCUGUAAAUACCCAAUCUUGUGACUGUUCGCUGGAUACUCUUCAGUUAAUCUCUUCUGUAAAUCUGUAAAUACCCAAUGUUGUGAUACAUGGAUACUAGCCUACAAAUUUUAGAUAUUACCUCGAAUCUUGGUUAUUAAAUCUUCAAGUGGAGUUCAGAUCCUACUAAAUUCUCCUCGUCUGUUCUCUCUGUAUGCGUGUGUUUUGGAUGUUGCCCUGUCUAAUUGGCUGCUUACUUCAAUGGUGACAUGUCGAUUCAUCAACAUGCCAACAAAAAGUCAUAACUACGAUCUCCCGAUGAUGACGAGGCCUUUCAUUCAGAAUUUCUGUAUAGGAUUCAUUGUUUAGAUUGAUCGUUGGGACGUGCCAAAAUUUUCUUUGGUAGUCAAAUUUAAGUAGGGAAACCUCGCACAUGGAAUAUCACAACUGAAGAUGAAACCGUGCGUGGUUUGAAGGACAUUAUAUAGUUCAUCGAGUAAAGAGAUAAACAGUGUCACUAGAGUGCUUUGUAAACUGGAUCGGACCGGUUGAAUUAUGUGUUGGUCAAUUCUUGGUUUGCUUAAUUGCGUGCCACUUAUAAAUCUGAUUUAGCAUGUCAUCAUGAGGUAGUGGUUAAGAGGAGGAGAGGGAGAUCAGAGAUGGGCGUAUUUUCCCAGCACGCUGGCCUUUUCCUCUCGGCCAUUGAAUGGGACUCUGCGUCUCGCUUUCCAAAGACCACAAUCUUCAUCUCAAGGUUCUCUUGCCGCAGAGAAACUCUCAAAACUCUUAUCCAUAAUUCUGUGAUUGUACAUUACUAGUCAUAAUAAAAUUUGUCCAUGAUAUCAUCGUACAAGAUUUUGAAGAAUUUCAUUUGCUUUCGGGUCAUCUCCCCCAAACAUAGAACUUACCGCGAGCAUUGCGGUUAUUAGCAACUUGUGGUUAUUGGCUGCUGCGAUAAUCCUAAUUGCAAAGUAGAAGAAGAUUUUGGACCCAAGACUGCGUGUGGUUUAUAGCUUCGCACUCUCUGGGCAUGCGUUCUUUUAAGGUCCGUAUCAAUUCGCGAAAACUACUGAAUCUCUGGGAAAACAAGUAGAACAGUGAAAACAGUAUAGUUGAAGGAGACUUUCUUUUCUUUUUUUUGAUCGACAGUUCAAGAAGAGUUACGGGGCACAAAACCGGAUCCCUCUGCACAUAUUACAGUAGAUUUCCUUUCACGCAGCGUAAUGGGACUUGCAUCGGAGUACUCAUCAAGCCAAGCAUAUGGAAAAGAUUAGCUUCGUCGAAUUGACAUGAAUCGGAUGUAACAUCCCCUGAAGCAAUAUCAAGACACUUAAAAAAGAGUCUCUCUAAGAGAAUCAUCUUUCUACAUGUCAUUGGCCAAAGACUUAGUUGAUAAGUUGAUAAAGUUAAUACAGAGCAUCCGGCAGAAAGGAUGUUCUCAGAUUUCAGAAAGAACAUGCUCCGAGGAUCCACAUGACACGACCUUCGAGAAAAGGGAGGUCGCAGUUUGCACCAUUUGUUCAUGGAAGAAUACGUAUUAUUAGAGAUACAUCUCUAAGGUUGAUUCUUAAAGUAACGACGGCUGAAAGAACAGAAUACCUCAGCCAUGCACUAGCAUACCAAGAUAAGAUUUUUCUUGCUGGAGUAAAUACCAGAUUAUUCAAAUUGCUAAUGGAAAAUCUUCUUUCAACAGGGACAUCAACAGCCCAAGAAGCUAAAUCUCCGUCCUCUCCCACGGGUGCUCAGUAAAGUCUCUAGGUGAACUAAGGAGAAUCAUCAUCCUACAACUGACAAUAGUCUCUUAACCAUUGUGUGCAUAAAUUGUGUUGACUUCAAUUAGCAUACCAGGUUCUGGGCAAUUCAGAAUAUUCAACUUGCAGUCAGGUGCGAGUAGCGAGACCACUUUCACUGCAGCUUAUAUGACCUAGAAGAAGCGAUCUGGGUGCAGAUGUCGAUCCAAUAUACAAACUCAACCCAUCAUCAACCUCCCACUCAAUAUGAAAAUACAUUUUGGUGACCCUCAAUUCUCACACACUCAACUGCUCCAGUCUUUAGUGCCGACCCCAAUACAGCCUAAUUUCUUAUUCAUUUUCAAUAAUCAGUCUUGCAUUGACGUCCAGUUCGAAUUGCCCAAAGGAGUGCAUCUGAUGAAACAGUCAUGUUGCCAUCUUAUUUUUCGUCUUAAUGAGAAUUGGCAAAGUUCCAAGCAUGAGUCUGAUCUUACGUGAACCAAAUCGAGACUGGCACAAAUCCAUAUUCCUACUGUAUUCAUCAUCAAAUUACUAAAUCAAUCACGUUAUGCGGUGCAGAAAAGAUGAAUCACAAUCCACAGCUCACAGCAGAGCCUAACAAAUGGGGAAAAGCAAUUCAUGUUUUGACGAACGAAAGAAAGGCUUUUCCUUUCAAAUGUCGGAAGGCCAUUUGUCCACAACUACAGCUAGCAGCAAUAGCUAAAUCCACAAGGACUUCCUUUAGCUCAUACUCUAGUCCCAUAAAUUUUUCGAUGUCUAACCCUGUCAGGUGAAUCUUUUCGUACAUAAGGUUACUCCACAUCAUCCCAUUCCACAACCAUCUGCAUUUCAUCCCCACUAAGCAAACUUAGGCUGGAAUACUCAGAACCAAGCAGACAGCACAGGGAAAUUCCAUACACGAACUUUGUGCCAUCCAAGCAAUUGAUACUCACUAAAAAUAAACAAAAGAACGUUUAGCGCACCUGCAAUUCGAUCGCGCCUACAGAAAAAUCCUCUCAAACCGGAUCUUAUAAACCCUAGGCAUCAAUAACACUUAAAUCGAACCACCCCAGAAAGUCACACAAUGAAUCUGCAAGUCAAUGCAACCCCCUCGCCCAACACUAAUAGACGAUGUUACUAAUUCCAACCCUCACAUUACGUCCGCCAUCUUCAAAUCCCACAAUAACCAACACAACGAACCGAAAGCUAGCCACAACACUACAAGAUCUCCCUCCUUUGAUUGUUUAGUUUCGAUGUUUUGGUUAUUGUUAGUUAAAUAAGUUAUUUGAAACGUUCUGGCUGUUUCAGCGACACCCACCAUGAGUGGUUCGCUUCUCUGUACCUGCAUCAAAUUCACUGGUUUAGUUUUUUUUUGACAACCUUUAAGGGUACAAUGGCAUUCUAAUGGAUUUUCUGCAUCAAGUUCUUGUGCAAAUUGAAGUAGGUUGAGUAAUAGUGCUACACGCCCCAUUUACAAUUGAUGGUUUUUUCUACGCCACUAGAUUCCGUAGCUUCUGAUGCUUGUGAUUUACAACUUAGAACUUGUCAAAUUUCGUGGGCUUAAAGUUCUAAAAUUAAUUUUGUGCAUCAAGUUACGACAGUACAAGCAUUUAAUCUAUUUCCCACAACAGUUAUAGUACACCCGAACACAACAUGAUUACUCUUCCUAAUCGUUCAUUAAUUAGAGUAUGAUGACAUGCCUAUGAAAAUGGUAGUAUAAUAUCCACCUAUUAUCUGACAUUUCGGUGAGGGCGUAUGCAACGUUUUCAUCUUUGUGAUCUUCUGGCUGAGCUUGUCAUUCUCAAAUCAGAUAUUCUUGUAAGUUCUAGGGAUACGUCUCCCAGGAUGAACAUUUUUUUUUCCUACUUGUUUGUAAGCAUGAGGUGAUCUUUCUUUCAUCUGGAUGGAAUUACAAUAUGCCCGGAAUUGUUAUCCUAAGUACACUUGUUGGGUGAAUAUCUAAUGGCCUGUUGGUCUCCCCAACCCUGUUGCAUGUUGUGGACAUUGUACUAAUUGUUUUAAGCCAUUUUUCAAUGCUGAUACGUUCAAGAGAUUUAGCUGAUGUUGAUUAUAGGAAACUAUAGGAAACAAAUUGAAGACCAUUAAACUAAGGCUAUCAAUUUGCCACUGACACUGGAACAAAUGGUACCAUACAAUGUCAGAGUGCUUAACAGACUUACAUUAUUGUCUGAACUGUGAAUACCUAUAGCUACAUGUAUCGUGCCUGAUGCAGCCCGCAUUGAAGACCAAGUCUCUCGACCAAGAAGAUCGGCCCGCAUUCAAGCUCGACGAAACCGAGAAGCCGUAUCGAUAUCUUGAGUCCAUCCCGGAAGUUUGAAAGAAGACACCUUGGGAGCCAUGAAGACGUUAUGCUUUUACUAGUUUCUAGUUCCUAAGCUCUUUAAUGCUUUCAAGUUUCUAUGCUCUAUCUUUAUUUCUUUGACGAUAUAAGCCAUCCAAUUCCUUGUAGAAGACAGACGACUUUUGACAAAUGAAAAAACUUUGCUUUGAAGCAAGUAUCUUGAACCUUGUAAAGUUCAUAUCCUUGAAAACCUAGAAGAGUUUUCACUCCGUCCUCGAAGAGUCGGAGCUUUUCGAAACCUGCAUCCUUGAAGAGUUGCAGUCAUCGAUCUGCAUCCUUGAAGAGUUGCAGUCAUCGAUCUAGAAGAAUCGGUGCCCCCUCAACUUCCUUGGAGGCCUAGAAGAGCAACCAACGGAGUCUCUAUCUUUUCCUGUUCUGUUCGUUACUUCCAACCCAAUUUCGACUAUUCUACAGUGCUUAUUCAGAAAACCCAAGAUAGAGAAAUUGUAGAUCCAGAAGUCUUUGUUCAUUUGGCUUUGGAAUCAGGUCGAUCCGAUCUGUAUAGACAAAGAUACGACUGUUCUCCUGAGCUCGCGCAGUGCUGAAAUUCCUGUCGUCCUGUUUCCGUGUGCGAGUCACUCUCCCGAUCCUACUGCUUGAGAAAGCCUACCCUUGGCUUGCAUCAGUGCCAUUGUAGUAUAUGUAAUUACUUUUGUUUAUGCUAAAAGAAUAUGUGUAUGAGUGUUUUGGCUAUAAUUCUGUCUCUCUGUUAUUUCCCUUGGCGAUGCAAAAUUUGCUACAGGUGGAAUGGUAGAUGGUAGAUCUUCCUGUAUGAAUUGUGAGGGUGUCAAAUUUUAAUUUUUUUUUGCAUAUAUAUGGAAAAUUAUUUACUAGUUUGGUAACUUCGUUAACCUCAUUCCCUGUCAUUCCACUGUCAAUAUUCCUUUUGUAUGUUUUGUGAAAUAAUCUUAUUAUUACUUCUGCUCUUAUGAAUUGGUUUUCAAUAUUCCCCUACUUUCUGCUAGUUUCAUGAUGUAAACUGCUGAAUGAAAAUAGUCUAGCAGAAAAGUCAUGAAAUCACAUAAUGGUAACGUUUAACUCUGGACCAUCACAUAAAACCUGACUAAGGCAGAAGCCUCAGUUAAUGGCAAAACGUUGGUCCACUAAAUCAGCAUAAGUGGUCUGUCUCACACUAUUUAUCUACUUAAAUAUGAGCUCGUGGAAUGAGCCAAAUGAACUUAACGUGGCUUCUUUCUGGAAAUGGAAGGAAAGGAUAGUUGUCAAGCAAGGAAUUUCAUCUUUUCUGAUGGUCUAAGGUAAGGAUCGAGGUGGAUGUUGUGCCUGUUGAUUUUGUCUUUUGCCACAUCAAGUCCAUUCUGCAUUAUAAUCAAUAUGUGCUCCACUUGGUGAUUCUAUCUUCACCCUGUCCAGAAUUUCAUCUGAUUUUAUCCUUGUCUUUUGUGCAGAAGAUAUUUACUAACUUAGACCAUUAUUCCUAGGUAAAUUUUAUUUGCAGUGGGUUUUAGUAAAUACCCCAUCGGAGUCUUAAGAUUCUUUUAUGAAUUCUCUAACGAAGUAAUCCUCGUACUUUACCAGUUGGACGGGCUUGGCUGCGAAUUCUAGGUCUGUAGCGCUACAUUAAGCAGUGCUGGGAAGUCUUUUAGAUUAAGCUUAACAUAUGAAAGAAGACAGCAUUUGCACUUGCAGAACUGUCUAAGAUGUACAGGCCUUCGAUUUCUGGAAAGUUUUUAUGGUCUCUAUUGAAAGUGUACUAAAGAAUUUGAUCAAAAGAAUGUCUUCUUUUGCCACUACCAUGAUCUAUUAUCUCUCUCUCUCUCCCCGCGUGUGUGCAUGCAUGUGUGUAUCUGUGCGUGUGGACUCUGGGUAUGCCUCUAUCAUGUAAUGAAGCUGGAAUUGUGCAACCUGCAAUGUGUGUAUCUGCGCAUGUGUGGACACUGGGUAUGCCUCUAUCGUGUAAUGAAGCCGGAAGUGUGCAACCUGCAAUGUCAAGAAUGGUUUUAGCCACUUGUUGAACCUGUCUCAAGAAGUCAGUAUAUAAAUGUCUGUUUCAAGCGAAAGAAUUAGCUUUAUGAGCCAGCUAACAUCUCACUUUGUUUCCCCGUGUUUGUGCAUUGCAGGAGUUCGACUGUUCAUACGGUCCAGCUUGGCGUUGCAUCGUGGGAACUAGCUUCGGAUCUUAUGUCACGCACUCGCUUGGAGGCUUCCUGUACUUCUCAAUCGAUAAGGUUUACAUCCUUCUCUUCAAGACAGCAGUUGAGCCCUUGGACCACUGAUUGUAUCUGGACAGUCUCUCUGUCUUGUUACGCCUUCACAAGUUUUUCUUCCUAGAUUAGUAUGUAUAAUUGUGGUUUGCGAAACUUCCAAGCGUCAACUUCGAAGGUAUUCAUCACUAACUGCCUGCCAGCGGACCGGUGACUACCAAUUCUUGUAAUAAUUUCUCAUGUCGGAUUGAAUCUCAACCAUUUAUCUGGUGUCUAACGCUCUAUACCUUGUUCCAGACUUAAAUUUAGGUGGUUGCGUUAUGAUUUGUAACUCGUCAAUGUCCUAUCUAUAAUAUGAGAUUAGGUAACUGUUUCUAUGUUCUGCUUGAUCGCAAGCGACAGCUGCUUAACCACAUUACCCCUACCGUUGGGCCCUGAGGGGUACUAGUCUAGAUUAUAUACGGUCAUGUACUAAACAAAAUAUUACAAAUAUAAACAUAUACCCACGUCCUUAACCUAUCAUAUCCUAAUCCUAUAUCAAUGUCAAUCCCUCCGUUAAGGCUCUGUUUGUUUCGUGGAAAAUAAUUUCCAAGAAAAUAUUUUCCGGAUUUUCUGGCGUUCAUUUCAUGGAAAAUAAAUUCACUGGGAAAAAUGUUUUUCAUGAAAGGAAAAAAAUCUUCUAAAUUAAGGAAAAAUGUUUUCUACUUUAAUGUUUUCUACUUUUUAAGAGUAGAAAACAUUUUCCUCACUUGAUUUCUCUUAUCUCACACCUCUACAAAUCCUCACUUUCUCCUUUCCUUUCUUUUUCUUAUUUUCUUUUUUUGUUCGAAUUAUUUUUAAAUUUUCUUUUUCUUUUUUAAUUCGAAUUAAUUUUAAUUUCCUUUUUCUUUUCUUUGUUUCCCAUCUUUUUAUUUCUUGGCUAGUCAUUGGCCGUUGCCAGUUGAAUCUCGAGCUCAUCAAUCUCAAGUUCGCAUUGGGCACUCUUGCUUAUCAUUUUCUUUAUUUAUUCUACCAUGUAGUUGUACAUUGCUCAAGCAAAUGGCUCUACAUUCUUUACUUCUUUUCUCUUUUGUUUAUUAAAACACAAAAGAAGCCAGGGGAGACCACCACCCUCAGCGGUGCAGCUGGCUCGAGCUCUCUCCUCCUCACGAAGGGAAGAAGUUCGAAUCACAGAAACGUUGUUAAGGAUUCUUACCUGAAGUAUUGUGGUGGUGGGUCUUGUAAUCGCUCCCCCAGGGUUUGCUCGCCGGCCGUUCCCUUAACGGAUUCCCUUGGUUACCAAAAAAAAAAAAAAAAAGAAUCUGGGGGAGAAUAGGCCACUCAAUUGGAAUAUUUUCAUGGGCUGUCGAAUAUCAGAAAACAAUGUCAUUUUCCUAGAAAAUGACUUUUGAAAAAUAUUUUCUGGAUAUCGCCUAUUUUCCGUGAAACGAAUGGAUCCUAAAUGUAGCAUGAGUUUUCAACCUCUAGAGAUUGAUUGUCAAGAUAAUUCCAUUCAUUUCACAGAAAACAACUUGUAAAAAAACAUUUUCUAGAUUGUUCAGUGUUUAAUGGAAAAUGAACUAGUAGGGGAAAACAUUUUUCAUUAAGGAAAAAAAUUCUUUUAAAAUUGGGAAAAAUGUUUUCUAUUUUUCAAGUUGGGGAAAUAGAAAACAUUUACCCUACUCACUCUCUUAUCUCGUACUGUUUUAGCCCAUCUUCUUUCUUUUUUUUUUCUUUUUUAAAAAUUCGAAUUUUUAAUUUUUUUUCCACUUUUUUCUUGGUUGGUUGCCAACCAUGACAAUGGCCGAUGACCAGCCAUAGGCGAGCUCGAACUCGCCAAUUUGGUUAGGCCCAAGGCCAGUGAGCCAGUAUCGAGCUUGAAUUCGCCUUUGGACAGAUUGGCCAAUGAAGAAGAAGAUAAGAAAAAAAAAUUAAAAUUUAUUUUUAAGGAAAUAAAAUCAAAUAAUAAAAAACUCGAUUUUUAAAAUAAUAAAAAAGUUAUUAAUAAAAGGUGCACGGAGAAAAAAAAUUUCCUUAUCAAAUAGCCAAAAAAAAUUUCCACUUUAUUUUCAGAUCUUAGCUGUAUAUAGAAAAAUAAUUAUAUUUUCUUGAAACAUGAUAUUUUAGAAAAUAUUUUCCAAAAAUGCCUUAUUUUUCGCGGAAGGAAUGGGUAAGCAUCAAAGUCGUGGGAGCGAAGCAAAAAUAUUAUAGAAUCUAAAUUAAUUUGGCCCCAAGUCAUUGUUUACACGUGAAUCCUGUUACUUCCACUUUUCUUGGCAACUAAGAAAACAAAAAGAUCUCUUGCUUCUUAUCAAAGCCGCUACAUUGAGAUGGACCCGCAUUUCGCACAGUCCAGACAAAAAUUAUCUAUCCACGUUCCCAUUAGGAGUCCAAAUAUCCAAUCAUAUCCCCCUCACAGGCUCUUGUUCAUAUUUCUCCCCUCAAGGCCUCAUUCUCUUCUUCUGUUCUCAAUCAUAAACCAGCAAAUCCAAAGAGUCAUGCUCUGUCAGAAGAUUGGUAGAACCAAGAAAUGCCAAACCUAUCGUUCAAUGUCGAUCAUGCGUCUCCUGAGGAUGAGAACAUAGGUGAGCCGACAGUACCGGGUCAACCCCAUGAGGCCCUGCUUCUGGUCUUGCCUUAUCUCAGCUUAUCUGGGCUGAUUGCCGUGGGCGAAGUGUGCACGUCUCUGAGAGAUGCGCUGCGUGACGAUGUUCUGCCGUGGCUCGAACUCAUUGUCGACGAUCCUUUGAGUCGGCGGAUGUGUGACGAGAUACUUAUUGAGAUCACUUCAAAGGCAAAUGGGAAGCUCCGGACACUGGGGCUGUUCAAUUGCAUGAAAAUCACAGACGGCGGGCUUCAAACUGUUAUAGAGAGAAAUCCUCUCAUCAACAAGGUAAGAUGCAAACCGCUACUCCAGUUAUCCUUUUCUUCUUUGUGUUUAUUGUGAAUUGCUGGAGAUGAUACCUGUAUAUCAUUGUUUUCUGCUCAUGUCCAGCAAUUAAUCAUACCCUUAAACUUGUUUGCUUCAUGAAGCAAACUGCUCCGUCGAACUAAAGAAGUAAGCUCGUGGCAGCCAAAAUCAUAGUGUACGGAAAAAUGUCCGUAAACAUAGUGUUUCUUGUGGGGUUCAGUUUAGUGUUGAUGGCUUCUUAGUGUGCGAUUAGCAACGUCUGAAAAAAUGAGUGGAGACAAUAAUCGUUUGUUCUUCAAAAUAGAAGUAAUUCGAUUUGCAGAAAGUUUACUUUGAUGGCUUAAAAUUGUUGUAUAUGAAGUUAUAUGUACCGGGAUGUACUGGCUUGACACCAGAGGGAGUCAUAAACGCAGUGAAGACUCUAUCAGCACAUGGUAACAUUUUACAGUCCAUAAAGAUCAAUGGCAUCUACAACCUGCAGAAGCAACACCUUCAAGUGCUUCAGUCCUACGUUCAAGAGAAUCCCAAAACGCUGGAGCACAAGUGCUCCACGCACUUUGGACUCGAGGGUGACUGCAAUAUUUGUCCUCUCGAUGUGGAAAUCUGUCCAAAAUGCAACGAGGUGAGGAAGGUCUUUAUCUGCCCUAUAGAAACAUGCGUGAGGAAGAGAGACCGGCGAUUAAGUGAAUGUAGAGGAUGCAGCUCUUGCAUUCCGAGGUGCAUCCAGUGUGGCGCAUGUGUCGAACCUGACGAUCUAGAGGAAGCCGAGGCUAUUUGUGCGGACAUCUUAUGCAUGAGGUGCUGGCUCCAACUACCCAAGUGUGAUUUCUGCAACAAGCCAUACUGCAAGCAACAUGCGGAGGGGCAGCUCAAUCCUUCAGGGUCUCGGGGGUUUGUUUGUGAGUUGUGUGCUGUAUACGAGGAGGAUGAUAUUGAUGUAUAGCUUUGGGCAAAUGAAUCUUGAGAAGGCACAAGCAUAAGGUUCCCUUUUUGCGUAUGAAUGCAUUCUGCAGCAUGUCCCACAUAGUCUCUUUUUGCUACCGUUAGUGCACAGGUGAUGAUUAUACCUUCUCUUCUCCAGAAGUGAACCUUGUUUCAUUCGUUUUGACCGUGCAGUGAAACGGGCAAGAGUACGCACAUAUGAUCUCCUGAGUUUGUGCCCGGUCGUUUGAUUUUACCAUUACAUUUUCUAGCUGUAGAAUCACGUCAUUCAACUUGUGUCAGAUCAGAAAUUGUCACACCUCACUCUUACGAUUCUAUCUUUUGAAGUCACUCCAUCGUUUUUCAUCCCAAAAGUAUGCAGUCGGUAAAGACCGAUGAUAAUGCCUUUAUGAAAGUUGCAAACUGGUUUACAAAAAGAGCUUGGAUUCAACUGUUGGAAAUUAUAUAAAAAAAAAAACAAACUAUUUGUUGUAAUCAGAACAUCAAUGUAAAGAAAACGAUAACAGUUAUACAAUAUCAUUCUUUUUAUUUAAACUUACAAAUCUUGGAGAAUAAUAAAAUAAGAAAUCACUGGAAAAAUAAUAUUAAAUUGGAGGUGAGGUACGAAUAACUGAAUCUCCUUAAGGCGACUAGUUCCUGUUAAUGGUGCUCUGCAGAUUCACGAACUAUGCAUCCCAAGAUAUAACACCUCGAACUUAUUUGGAUUAGCACUAUGCAAACAUGAUUCUGUCGAACCGUUCAAUUGAACCAACACACCCAGAAAAAAAACGGAAGAGUAGAAAAGUAUAUCAAAGCUCUUUUGGAAUUGAGUCGAAAAAGCCAAAACCGAAAAACUGUAAUGAAACUCGAUACUUCCAUCUAUUUAUAGAGAUUUUUAGUUCAUGUACAAAAGAGAUACAUGAAUUAAAUAGAUGUGUGUAUCCACGAAAUUCAUGAAUCAAGAGAUACGCAAAUCCAAGAGAUUCAUAAAUCCAAAGACACAUGAAUUCAAGAGAUUCGUGAACUCUAUAAAUACAUGAAUUUAGGAAAUUCAUGAAUUCAAUAGAUACGUGAACAUAAAAGUUGAGGAAAUUCAUGAAUCCAAAAGAGAUACAUGAAUAGAAAAAAGCGUAUCUUAAUUUAUUGACUUUCGUUGAUUCAUUAACCAUAAUUAUAACUAUAAUUACAACAAUUUCUCACAUUAAUGGAUCAACAAAACAUUUUUGACUCGAAGGAAUCUGAGCAUGCCUGUUGAAAUACACCACAUCAAAAUAGGUAGCUUUUGCUUUGAACCUUCUUUAGUGAAAGCCUAUCGGACUUAUUUAACUAGUCAACGGACUAAGCCUUGAAUUGCCAGUUGUUUGUGUAAGCCUAGACAAUAAACCUCACACGGAGUAUUUCCAAUUCAAGAUUAGUUCUCAGUUGUGUUCAUUCUUUCGACCUUAAACCUCUCGGAAUUCAUGCGUGCUUUAAAGAUUUUCAUAAAUUCGGCCAGCUCCAUGCAUAUAGGUGCAUUCCUAUUAAAGAUAUCCUACCAUAUGAAUGUUACAUUCCAAGUUAUAUGAAUCAUUAAACACAUAUUGUACCAUUAAUAACACUGUAGGAAAGCACUGUUGCAUCAUAGGAAUGGGAGACAGUGCUUACACUAGAGUUUCCAGAGUUUGCGUUGUCCUAUUGAACCUAGACCAUGGGAUCUCCAAUCGCAUAUGUUAGGUUUCCAUUCCAAAAUCUCUUUAUUAGGUUAAGGCGCUUAAACCCAUUCCCCUCCAUGUGCAGUUUACCUUUGUCAGUGGAUUCGCAAUAUUUUCUUUUGACUUUACAAAGUCUAAAUAAAUGAUUCCAUUUGAGAGCAAUUGUUUUACGGUAUUGUGUUUACAAUGAAUGUGUCUAGACUUACCGUUAUAAAUCACAUUAUGCACCCCCACAUUUUUAGAAAAUUGUAGGAUGACAAUUUUUCAUUCCAUAACUCGUAUGGAGUUUUACCUGGCCUUUUGUGAGGUAUUUUAUUAAGGAUAAAUUAUGCAGUUAAAACUGCCCCCCACAAAUUCUGAGGUAAACUUGAACUCAAAAACAUGGCGUUAGCCAUCUCCUUUAAAGUGACAUGUUCAAUCGUUCAGCAACUCUAUUUUGUUGUGGAGUAUAAAGGCAGUCGUUUGGAGAAUUAUUCCAAAACUAGCACAAAACUCCUUGAAAUUGAUUGAACUAUAUUCUCCUCCUCUAUCAGACCUAAGCACUUUGAUUUGUUUAUCAAGUUGGUUUUCAACUUCAUUUUUAUACUUGACAAACAUGCUCAUAGUCUCAUAUUUGCUAAUUAAUAAAUAAAUAUAGCAAAAUCUAGUAUAGUCAUCCACAAAUGUGAUGAAAUACUUCUUUCCCCCUUUACUUUCUACAAACUUUAAAUCACAUAGAUCACUAGGGAUUAAUUGUAGAAGUUCACUUGUUCUUUCAAUGGAUUUGAAAGGUUUCUUGGCAAACUUGGCCUCAACACAAGUCUCACACUUGUAAUGAGCAUCCAACUCAAAUCUUAGAAUUAACCCCAAAUUUGCUAUUCUCUUCAUUGUACCAUAAUUUACAUGUCCUAAUUUACCAUACCAUAGAUAAAGAGACACAACAGUGUAAACUGAAAACUUUUCUUUAUUAAUAGUCUUUGGCUACACAUAAUUUGAGUUUAUAUCAAUGAUAGCACAUUGGCUUUAAACAAGACUUUACACAAGUACCACAAGUAUCAUUUCCCCACGCACAUCCCUCCUUUUGAAAGUAUAAACUUGUCAGAUUCAAAUACAACUUUAAAAUCCUUCUUGACAAGUAUGGGGCCAGAAAUUAGGUUUUUCUGAAUUUCUAGUACAUGCAACACAUUCAACAAGAUGACCUCCUUGCCAUCUAACUUCAGGAUCACCUUUCAUCUUCCUGUAAUCUUUGUUCAGGAUCACCUUUCAUCUUCCUGUAAUCUUUGUUGAUGCAGAGAUAGCCAUAUAAAGCUUUUCAUCUUCUUCAUCCUUCUCAUAAGAUGAGAACAUGUGUUUAUUUACAUAGAUGUGAUUUGAUGUAGAGAUAGCCAUAUAAAGCUUUUCAUUUUCUUCAUCCUUCUCAUAAGAUGAGAACAUGUGUUUAUCUGCAUAGAUGUGAUUUGUGGCACUCGUAUCUAGCCAUUAGCUAUUAGUGUUCGACACUAGAGAUGCUUUGGACAUCACCACACUAGACAAUCUCUCAUUAGCUGUAAUUGGAGGUGUUGCCAUCACAGUAGGCAAGGUUUGUAGAACCAUCUCUCUAGAAAUAGAGCCAAAAGCCAUUUGGCUUGUAAUGUUCUGAAAAAUAGUCCCGGGCAUACUAGUCGUAUGAUUUGUACCUGCACCACCAAAAUUGGUGUUAGCCCAGGGGCCCGUAGCAUUGGCUACUAUAAAUUUAGACCUAGAGGGCUAAAUAUCUUCCAUAGCAACGGUCGAAUUGACCAUAGGAAUGUCUCCUGAAACAUUAUGAACAUUGAAUGUCACUUAAUUGUUUUUAGCCAUCUCAAUAAUCUAACAAUAACAACAAACAGUGAGUGACCUAAUCGCCUUAAGAUUGUUGGAAAUUAUAUCCAGAGAAAACACAAACUGUUUGUUGUAAUCAGAACAUCAAUGUAAAGAAGACGAUAAUAGUUAUAUAAUAUCCUUCUUUUUAUUUAAACUUACAAAUCUUGAAGAAAAAUAAAAUAAGGUAUCACUGGAAAAAUACCAUAAAAUUAGAGAUGAGGUACGAAUAAUCGAAUUUCCUUAAGGCGAUUAGUUCCUGCCAAUGGUACUCCGCAGAUUCACGAACUAUGCCUCCCAAGAUACAACACUUUGAACCUAUUUGGAUUAGCACUAUGCAAACAGGAUUCUAUCGAACCGUUCAAUUGCAUCAACACACCCAGAAAAAAAGAGGAAGAGUAGAAAAGUAUAUCAAAGCUCUUUUGGAAUCGAGUCGGAAAAACCAAAACCGAAAAACCAUAAUGAAGCUCUAUGCUCCCAUCUAUUUAUAGAGAUUUUUAGCUCAUGUACAGAAGAGAUACAUGAAUUAAAUAGACGUAUGUAUUCACGAAAUUCAUGAAUCAAGAGAUACGCGAAUCCAAGAGAUUUAUGAAUCCAAAGACACAUGAAUUCAAGAGAUUUGUGAACUCUAUAAAUACAUGAACUAAAAAAUACAUGAAUAUAGGAAAUUUAUGAAUUCGAUAGAUACGUGAACAUAAAAGUUGAGGAAAUUCAUGAAUCCAAAAGAGAUACAUGAAUAGAAAAAAAACGUAUAUUAAUUUUAUUGACUUUUGUUGAUCCAUUAACCAUAAUUAUAACAACAAUUACAACAUCAACUUUUGAGCAGGACACUCAUGGAACAUCCUUGCCAUCUAUGAAGCACAAUCUUGUUCCCUCCCAUUACCAUGCGACAUCAUUCAUUUUAGUUUUCUUUUUUCAUUGCACUCUUCCAAUUUCCUUGUGCAAGUGAUUUAGCUGUGAUGACUUAAGAGGUCAUUCCUUCUCAGCAGCGGCCCUUCAUGGGGUGACCAUAUUCUCCUCUGUUCGACUUAUGAUGAAUCCAUUCAGCAGAAUAAUCGACCUUAAUUAAAAAUCGGAAAGAAUAUUAUGUUUAUUCAUGUUGAGAUGGCAUGUCUAUUCAUAUUUCUUAAAUAUAAAUGAUAAUUCCCAUGGUACAUCAUUAAUUGACUGAUUGGAAAGUUAUGAAAUGAGUUAGAUUGUGAAAAUCUUUUAAUCAGAGUAUAAUACAACAAGUGCUUUAUACGCGAAUAAUUUAUCUCACUUCAAGAUGGGGGGUAUUUUUUUUUUUUCAUAAAUUCAUAGUUGGAUCGCAAAUCAUGUAUGUACAUGCAUUUUUUUUUUCUUUUUUGGGUAAAAGUACAAGUACUUCCUCACAAGAGAGCAUUUUUGCCUCAAGUCAAUGUUCAGCUAACUUUACAUAAAAGGUUGUUCUCGAAUUUCAAUCACAUUUGAAAGACUUUCAAAUAGGGCCGCAAGCAAUUGCUAUGACGAGGGUCACAACGCUUGCCUAAACUAGCCAAGGAGACCUCACCCAACUCUCUCCCCCCCUUUGUUUCUCACAAUUGCGUUUUUGUGUGAUGCCAUGGUGUUGCCACGAUUGUUGCCAUGCCUCUUUGUUCUCAAAAUUAUUCUCUCUUAACUUACUAAAAAAUAGCCAAGUAGGAUGAUAAAUCCGUAAUUCACAUUAAUUUAUAAUAGUUCUUAUAGAAUAUCACCUUGAACUAAAUAUAUAUUUUUCAAGAAACACACUAAGCCAAAAAAGAUGUUUGAGGACUUGAUUAAACAAUUUUAAGAAGGGCCUAUCUAACACCUAUUUGGCACCAUGUUAACUCCAAGUCUUCUAAAAAUGUUUAACAUGAAACACAAAACAAUAAAAAAUGUUAAUAUUCUCACUUGUCUUGAAAACUUAAUUGCGUGACUUUUAUAAAUUUUAAAAUUUGAUCGUACAAAGCUGAAUUUUGGAAUUUAGUUCAAUUUCAGAAAUAAGUUUCGUUAUUUUAAGAUUCACAUAGCAAUGACUUAAUAUAGGGAUUUUUGUUAAUGAUAGUAAGAACAGUAUGAUUGACAAUUUGACAUUUCCUUCAAUAGUUUUUGAGUUUUUAUCUUUUAUCUUUUCCCCUUUUUGGCUUUGUAAGCAACUAAUAAAGCCAACGGAAAAAAAAAAAAAAAAACACGCUUUAGGGGCAAAAUUCUCCUCGCAGCUCCAGAGGGAAGAAGAAAGCCAACGGAAACCCACGCAGCUCCGAAACUCCCCCCCUUCCCCCCCGCCAUCGAAAUGGUCCGCCGAGAAGAAUCGUAGGAGCUCCGUCGCUUCUUCGCACCCCCGCCCCGCCGCCGCGCCGCGCAGCGAACGUGAUCGCCGGGGAGGGAAGAUGGAUCAGCCGCCGCAGCGAUCGAGCUCGGCCUCGCGGGCCUACCAGGUCCAUCCGUCUCGCGCCGCCAUCAACGAUCUCUUCAACCUCUACUUAGGAGUAAAACUCUCUCUCUCCCCGAAACAAUCCUCCUUCGGCUUUUGCGUGUUUCGACUCUAGUCGUUCGCAAGUGUCUGACUUCGCUCGUGUUUCGCAGAGGAACAGCCGCCACCGAGCCGACGACUCCGUCCGCGAACCCCCGUAAGGGCUCGAAACUCGGAAUGCGUGAAGCCCGUGGAUUGGCUCUGUGUUGUCGCUUGUGUCUGUUAAGUGUAUAGGAGUACGAUUGUGGAGCAAUUGAUUAAGUUUCCGGUCCAACUGAAAAUGGUCCUUUCGUUGUUAGGUGAAUUAGAUGGUUUUUGCGCCCACCCCUUGUGCCCUAGGUCUAAGAUGAGAAGGUGAUUUUGCUGUCCAAAGUUGGGAAGGGAAAUUUCGGUGUGUUUGUUGUUUGAAUCAGAGUUCGACUUCUGGGUAUUGUUGGGCUGUGCGUCGGAUGCAAUGAGGAAUCUUUGGUGGUUUGCUUCCUUCGGGGGUUAAUUCUGCUUCAAUUUGCAUCUAAAUCACCUGCAGGAAUAAGGCGCAGAAGCGUGUCGUGGCUUUUAACAGGGACCUUCCUCCUCAGAAUGACCAGUUCAUUGUGGACUUCCAGCAACUUCAAAACCAGUUUGCUGUAGGUUAAUAAAUCCUAUUGCAAAUACAUCUUCCUUUUGCAUUUUUUCCUAAAUCUCCCUCUCUACCUAUAUAAUUUUAUGUAACUAGCAGAUGCGAGCUUAAUGUGUGUGCUGUGCAUUUCAGGACCAAGAUCAACUGCGAUCCAUGACAGAAUCUGUAAUUAUAUCUUUGGUUGGACUGUGCAGAAAUCAUGCACCACGGGCAGAGUUUCUUCUCUUUGCUCUACGGAGCUUGUGUGGUAUUGGUUACAUUAACUGGGACACAUUUCUGCCUUCUCUUCUUUCUUCAGUUUCGUCAACUGAACUUUUAGUGGGUCAGGGGAGCCAGUCUAUGCCUGUAGUAUCACCAACAAGCUUAUCACAGUCUGAAAGGGUAGCAUCAUCAGGCGCAAUCCCCAAUUCGAACUUUCAGCCUUCCAAUCCUGCAUCUCCAUUGUCAUCGGUUCAUGUCAUUGGUUCUCCUGGUCAGUCAACAAUUGAACCAUCAUCUGGUGCGACAAUGUCACCGGUAAAAUCAUCUGAUAUCUCCUUCUCUGGUCAACAUGCCGCAGUGAGAACUGGUUCAUCUGUAAGAGACAGUGGUGUGAGCAGCCUACGUCAGCUAUGCUGCAAGAUUAUCUUGAUAGGUCUUGACUUUAAUUUAAAACCGGUGACUCACUCAGACAUAUUCUCACAUAUGCUUAAUUGGCUUGUUAAUUGGGAUCAAAGACAACAUGGAAUGGAUGAAUCCAAUGUCAUCAAGUCCUGGAGACCUGACAAGGCACUGAUAGAAUGGCUACACAGUUGUUUGGAUGUGAUUUGGCUAUUGGUUGAGGAGGACAAAUGUCGAGUGCCCUUUUAUGAAUUGCUACGCAGUGGCUUGCAGUUCAUAGAGAACAUACCGGAUGAUGAGGCCUUAUUCACCCUUAUCUUGGAGAUCCAUAGGCGGAGGGAUAUGAUGGCAAUGCACAUGCAGAUGUUAGAUCAGCACCUUCAUUGUCCUACAUUUGGAACUCAAAGGAUACUAACCCUCACUACUCCUAAUGUGUCUGGUGAAGCAGUUGGAAACUUACGGUAUUCCCCGAUCACAUAUCCAAGUGUGCUUGGAGAACCACUAAAUGGAGAGGUGAUUGGCUACUCCUAAAUUUUGUAAAAAAGGGGCAUUCUCCUCUACAAGAUAAGACACAUCUUCUAAUUUAAAGGAGAUUUUUGAUAGAUUUUAUUUACUAAUCAUAUUUUUCAGGAACUAGCAACAUCAAUUGUACGGGGAAGUUUGGAUUGGGAAAGAGCAUUGCGAUGUAUAAGACAUGCUAUUAGGACUACUCCAUCGCCUGAUUGGUGGAAGCGUGUGCUUUUGGUGGCUCCUUGCUAUAGACCUUCAGUACAACCACCAACUCCUGGUGCUGUUUUUACCUCUGAAAUGAUAUGCGAGGCAACAAUUGAUAGGAUUAUCGAGCUAUUGAAGUUGACAAAUUCAGGCAAGGUGUUCUAUCUUCACAGAUGUAGUUGGAGUUUUCCUCAAAAUUAAAGGGAAAACAACACAAAUGGUCCAUGAAUUUUGUUCCAAUGUGCAAUAUUGCCCUUGGACUUUUUAUAUGUUCAAUGUGGUCCCUAAACUAUUAAUAAUGUUCAAUCGACUCCUUAGAUUAUAUAAAAAUGGUUUAUGUUGUUCUUUCGUUAACUCAAGUUUUGCUAAGGUGGCUUUGAAUCUGUUAAGUUUGAAGGUUGAACAACAAAAAAUAGUUAUACGUGAAUUAAUUAAGUAUGAUAUUUAUCUCAAGGAUAUAGUAAUCCACAUCAUUAGAUGAUGAACAUAUUAAUGCCUAAAUGUUUUGCUCUUUAAAAGUAGAUGGAUAAAAAGAUGAUGUUGACUCAUCAUUUUUAAAGUCCAAUUCAGCAUAUAAUGAUUCAUGUCAUCAAAUAACGCCUGAUUUGUUGUUUGUGCAAACAAAGGACUACAUCGAACAUUUAUGGAUAGUUCAAUGACCACAUUCCAAGAAGGACAUUGCACAUUGGGCUACAUUUCUCGUAGCAUAUGUAUCAUUUUCCCUAAAUUAAAUGUAGAUUACGUUAGGAAUUCUAGAUAUGUUCUUGCACUAUUAAGGAGAAUUGUGCUUUACAGUUUUGGAGAAGGAAACAUAUUAGUUCUAAUCCUUACCAAAAAAAAAAAAAAAAAAAAAAAGCAUAUUAGUUCUAAAACUGAUGAUUUGCAAAAUUGCAUGCUUUGAAUAUAAGGUCUAUCCAGUUAAGCAUGGAGAUAUUUCCAUCUUUGUUUGUUGCACUGAUCAAUAGGAAAUUCUUCGUGUGGUGGUCAUCAAUGUUGAAGAUAACGUUAGAUCAAGGGUUUAUUAUUGGGCUUUGCAUUUACUCAUUUGUACUUUAAUGGAAAAAAAUGGGGAGCGACUAAGAAUCAAUCAAUGGCUGUGAAGUUUAGGAUUUAAUUUGCUAUCUAAAACAAUAAAUCAAGGUCUCGAUUGGUUCUUGAUAAUUGGAGAUAACAUAUACUUCUCUAGCUUAAAGAAAGGUAAUCAAGUAGGUAGGAGAUGCAAAACUGAUAAGCCCAUCAUGAAGAUAAUCAUAUUUAUGAAAUUGCCAGGACUUAUGAUCGGAGGUCAAAUUAAUCAUAAAAAAAAAAAAAGCUUGAGCACAUAAAGAACCCAAGAAGAGUUUGUAUGGUGAAACAAAGAAAUUUCUUAUGCCAAGCAGGCCAAAUACUACUUUCUCAAAAUGAUGGAAGACCACCUUAAAGUCACUAUGAUCGGAUUCAAAUGGGAACUGUUGGAACAGUUUAGUACCUGAGACUUAGUUUGGUAUUUGUUUAGCCAUCAUUUGGACGAGGCUGCUUAUUCUAAGCUGCCAUUCUAUCUGGGCAAUUGCACUUUUUGGUUGUUUGCAUCAAUUCCUUUAUUUGGCUAGUGAAGUUGUGCUCUUGACUUUUACCUAGUCAACUCCUUUUAAGCCAAAAAACCAGUCUUGCUGCUGAAUUUUUUUUUUUUUUUUUGAUACUUAAAUAACUUAUUUAAUUAGUCAUAAUGAAGCAUGUCGUGCUGAUGCAAUGUUUGAACUAUUUAAUUGCUGGUUUAGGACCUUUACGAACAACAAUAGAGGUUGUUUGGAAAAACUUUCCUGCAAUAACUUCAGCUGUGAAAAGAUGCACUGUAACUUUUUAUAAAGUUUUUGGCAAACACCUGACAGCUGCAGCAUCUCCAAAGACAUAAUGGCUUAGAACAGUUUUUAAGAAUUUCUCUAUCCUAGGUUUUAAGAUAGCUUUAGAACAUGUUUUGUCAAAUAUACAGGUUGCACCACUUCACAACACAAUCAUUAAUCGAUAUAGCUACACUUUAGCCACAAUUAUGUCAAACGGGCUUUAUAUUUUUAGUAGUAUAACUUAUAGCAACUGAGCAAGGAAAUUGGGGGAUUGUAGAAUGUGUUUUUGAUAGAAUUAAAUUCCAUUUGGUCAAGUGGCAGGCAAUAGAAACAUUUUGAUAGAGGGGAUCUUGGGAGUUAAAUGUUUGUUGCUUUUUAAUGAGGCUCUAGCUGGCAAAUGGUUAUGGUGUUUAAUGUUGUACAUGAUCACCUCUAGAGGAGAUUGUGGUUGUGCAGUAUGGCUUGGAUAACAUGUUGAGAUGAACUUGUGUUUGGGGGAUAACAUGUUGAGAUGCGUGUGAUUGUGUUAGAAAACUUGCACAUUGAAGAAUUAGUAUAGUGUAAAGCAGUUAAUAUAUUAUAUUUGACCCAUAACUCAUUGGUUUAAGCUUUCGAGUGAAUGUGGGUUCAACUGGAUAUGCUGAUGGGGUUGAACUUGGUCUUUUUCGUGGCGAUCUGCUCUAUUGAAGAUAUUGGAUUUCAUCUGCACGCUCCCAACAAGUAUCGGAGUUGAUGAUUGAUUACAAGUAUCGGAGUUGAUGAUUGAUUGGUGGCACAAUCUCAUGUUUCUUGAAUAUCUCAAGGAAAUAAUGUUGUGACAAACGUAGUUUAUAGGCAGCCUUCAUAGUUUGGUAUGGCGAAAGAGACCUUAAUAUGAAGGUGCGCGUUAGAAAUUUAAGUUGAGACAAGUUGACGCAAAUGUAUACUUGAAUUAAGGCAAAGCAGACCUAACACUAAGCUCACACGUGAUUGGGAGAUUGUUGAGAUGCACGUAUGAGUUGUGUUAGAAAAGUCCCACAUCGGAGAAUUUGUAUGUCAUGAAUAUAUUCUAGUUGGCUCAUAACUCAUUAAAAUACUUAAAUUAAAGGGUAGUAGACCUAACGACCAGCUCAUAUGUGGAGGGGAGAUUGUUGAAAUACAUGUGUGAGAUCGGAGAAUUGGUGUGAUGUGAAGUGGGUAAUAUAUCCAAGUAGGCCUAUACCUCAUUGAUUUAAUUUUUUGAGUGAUGGUGGAUCCAAAUUGAUAGUCCAACUGGAUAUGUUGGCGACCUGGGACUUAGGUCUCUCUUGGUGAUCUCCGCAGGUGAAGGUAUUGGAUUUCAAUAUUCCAACAUAAAAUGGUUUUGAUUACCAAGUAUAGAGGAUCAUUGCAUGGUUUUGGAACAUGGAGGUGGAUUAGAGAGGCCAGGAUGACCUUUACACCUUCAUUAAAGUUGGUGAGGAGAGUAGAACUUAUACUUGUAGUGACGUUUGGCAUGGAAACAUGCUACUAAAAAAUUGGUUUCUUGACCUCUUUUGUAUCUCUAGGGACAUUUAUAGAGGUUUUUGUGGAGGAUUGUUAAUUUUUGAACUUUGAAGUGACUUCUUAGCAUAUUGAUUUUUCUUAGGCAAGAUUGCGAGUUGGAACCUUUAGUAACUUUUUUGACGAGGCGUUGGACUCUUAUAUUACCCCCUUUUCUAAUUAUAUACUGAUGUGGAAAUCUGUCAAAAGUAGUAACUUUUUUGUUAAAUCCUUUCAUGGUUUUUUAAAGGAGAAGAUGAUGGUUGGUGAUGGAUUGACUUCCUGGAUAUCUAUUUGGAAAUCCAAGGUCCACGUAGGUUGUUUUAUUUGGUUGGGAAACUUCUUGCAGGCACAUCCUUACUUUGGACAAUCUGAAAAAAGAGGAGUUGUGUUAACCAGUAGAUGCUUCCUUUUCAAACAGAGAGGAGAAACCCUGUCAAACCUUGUUAGAAAGUCCAAUCCAAAAGCUUAAGCCGAUAGGUGAAGGGAUACCACAUGAAUAUAAAAAGCAUUUAGGGUUCAUUGUCAAGUGAUGUGGAACAAUAUUUCAACACCUCCUCUCACAUUCGGAUUAUGAGCUGCACGUGGAAUUUUUUUACCACACACCUUCGCGUAAGGGAUAACUGGCUUUGAUAUCAUGUUAGAAAGUCCAACCCAAAAUCUUAAGCUUAAUUGGUGGAGCGAUACCAAAUGAAUAUAAAGAGAAUUUAGCUCCUCUGUUUUAUUUUUGGUUCAUAGAGUGGAAUGAGAGAACUUUUGAGUGGCAAGAGUCCUCUAUUCAAGAUCUUAAAUUGGCUUAAAGUUCUACAUCUUUGGUAUAGUGGGGAUAUGUUCUUGGAUGUAGAUGCUUCACUCGACAUUAUGGAUACCUUGUCUUGUAAAUGAGAUCCCCGUAUUGGUUUUGAGCUCUUUCUGGACAUGAGCUCUUUUUGUACAUAGGUUGGCUUCCCUUUGGUGUCUUAUAGUGAAUUUCUCUUUACUUAAAAAAAAAAUGCUGAUGUACUAACAACUUCCUUGACCAGAAUAGACGGGAAAGCUGGUCACCUGGUCAAGACCCUGGGAAGAUUAAGAAGCCUGUGAAUAUAAGAGAUAUCGUGUACCCUAUAUAUGAUAUCUAUGCUGUAACUCAUUUGAUAAUGAAGACUUCUCUGUAAUAAAAUAAGGUGGUUUUCUAUCAAAUAUGGGAGUAAUCAUGGAGGGAAAGAUAACUUUUGGCCAUGCUCUUUUGGUUUGCUGCUAAAAUUAGAUUCUUCAAAGUUGUGCUUUUUAUUUGUUGUGACCGAAAUUGAUCUCAUACUUCAGAUUUCCUUAUCAUUCUGCCAGUGUUAUGUUUAUUUUUCUACAUGCCUGGACUUGUAAUGCUGGUAAAAAAUGAUUAAAAUCUAGUCAUUCAUAGACUGCUGGAGAUUUGGAAUGGACUCACAACAAGCAUAAUUUUUUGCAGAGAUAAAUUGCUGGUCAGAGUGGCUCAUCUUUUCAGAUAUCUUCUUUUUCCUAAUGAAGAGUGGGUGUAUCGAUUUUGUUGAUUUUGUGGACAAACUAUUUGUGCGACUUACAGAAGCCGAUCAACAUAUUCUUCGUACAAAUCAUGUGACUUGGCUAUUUGCUGAAAUUAUUCGAGUCGAGCUCGUGGGAAAUGCUUUGAAUUCAGAUUCUAGAAAGGUUGGUUUUAAACUAUCAAUUGGUUUUGGAUCACUAUUUCUCAGUUUUUUUCCUGUUCUUUUUUUUGGCCAUACAGUCUUGUUUCUAAUCAAUAUAUGCUCAACAGGGUUACUUUUGCUGUUGCGUGUGAGUUAUUUCAUAUCAUGUUGUCGGAACAUGUCUUAGAAAACAGAGAGAUAAGUUACAUGAUGAAUUAGGACCCCAUUCCUUAAUCCUCUCCUUAUACAGUGACUCAGCUGAUAACAGUCACAAAGUUGGUUUGGUGGUCAAAGCAUUUUUUGGUCUCACUUGACAUCUGACUCAAGCUUCAGAACAGAUGUUGUUUGUUGAUCAUCCAGUUUAUUUGACUUUUAAUGAACAUGAUAAUUUAUUUGUGGUAUUUUUGGUUCUUUCUUCAAAAUACAUUCCUGCUGUAAUUCAGCUGUCCAAGUUAUUAAUAAAUUUUUUUACGUGUUUGUAACACACAUUUUGCAGGACGCAUCUACUCAAUUCACCUAAUAUGCUCUUGAAUAAUGUGUUCUGCUCUUCAUCUAUUAUGCGCUUGUUCUCAAGGACCUGUAACUCAAUGUGACGACGAAGGUUUAAAACAGAAGAAAGUGAACUUGCAUAAUGAUGAUAGUAGUGAUAAACUCGAGGAAGAGAGGAAAUGCUGAAUAUAAUGAGCUGCAAAUAUAAUUUUGUGAAGAGUAUGUAGAAUGCUGCUAGAAUAGGUGAUUUUUGUGAGCAUGGAAAUUCUAGAUGAAUUAUAGUGGAGUGUACAAUGUGGAAGACUGGACUUAACUUUUAGUUGGCUAAAUGUAGAUGUGUGAAAGUUUUGACAUUGAAAGAUAAAAACAACAGUCUGGUGAAUAAUAUUUCCUUUAUAGAAUAAAAUGAAAAGGUGUUAUGUUAGAAUGAGGAGGGGGCCCAAUGGAAAAGGGCCAUAAAAUUUUUGUUCAGGUGGCUGGGCUUUAAUACUAAAUAUGACUUGGUUAAAUUGCUGGUGGCAAAAUUUCUCAUAGAACAGACGCAUAAACCUUGCAUAGGACAGAUAUAGAUCACAUGCAUAAACCUCGCUUACUGAGGAGCACUUAAUUAAUUCCAUGCUUCCAAACUUUGCCUUAGGAUGAGGAGACAAAAUCUUGAUCAUAAUUGUGUACAGGGUUUCCAGAGGUUUUAACUCUUAUAGAGUAACUUGCCUAUGCUUAUAAAACUUGUGAUUCUCCAGCAAUCAGGUCCUUUUAGAUGAUAUUAGGCUUCCUUGUACUACCCGGUGAAGGGUUUGAUUGAUGAACAAGGUUUUAGUAGACCAUGGAUUAAAAGGACAAACGUCCACUUCUCACUUACAGUAAUUAGCCUUGAUAUGAGAUGUGGUUUCUUGCAAUUUGGAUCACAUGCAUAAACCUCCCUUACUGAGGAGCAUUUAGUUAAUUCCAUGCUUUCAAAAUUUGCCUUAUGAUGAGGAGGCAACAUCUUGAUCAUAAUUGUCUACAGGGUUUCAAGAGGUUAUAACUCUUAUAGAGUAACUUGCCUAUGCUUAUAGCACUUGUGAUUCUCCAGCAAUCAGGUCCUUUUAUAUGAUAUUAGGCUUCCUUGUACUACCUGGUGAAGGGUUUGAUUGAUAAACAGGGUUUUAGUAGACCAUGGAUUAGAAGGACAAAUCUCCACUUCUCACAUACAGUAAUUAGCCUUGAUAUGAUGUGUAGUUUCUUGCAAUUUAGAUGGCUUUUGCAGAUUAAUUCACAUAUUCUUCAAUUGUUUAAUAUCUUUUACUCUUGAAGUUCAGAAUGUUGAAUCAUUACGUAACUCGUGCUUUGCCCCCUGCUAGGUGGAGACAAUCAAGAAGAUUUUGUCAUUUCAUCGAGAAGACAGAGGCUCAGAUCCUAAUAAUCCUCAAAGUAUCCUACUUGAUUUUAUUGGCAGUUGUCAGACUUUACGAAUUUGGUCACUGAAUACAGCAACGAGGGAAUAUUUGAAUAAUGAGCAGCUUCAGAAAGGAAAGCAGAUAGAAGAAUGGUGGAGGCAAGUGGGCAAAGGUACUGCUUAUGAAUAGCCUUGUUAGAGUGUAGUCGUUUGAUGGUAUAGACAUACCUAUUACUAGUGAAUUCUAUCUACUGUUCCAUUAUUGUCGACUUCUCACUUAAGCCAUUCUUUCCAUUGGCUAACAAAUGUUCAUUGGCUUCUAGAAAAGCAUAGAAAAACAUGGACUAUAAGCUUGGACACAGAGAAAAAAGACAUAUAAUGUGCCUAGAAAAUUUGAUGUGCCAUUAUAAUGUGCCUAGCAAAUUUGAUGGCUUCUAAUUUAAGUAGGAUUGUACUUCUCAGGAAAAUUUAGUAGGAAUGGCAGGCCAGGUAAAAGGAGAUUUCAUGUUACCUUAAAAUAGAAGCUGCAAAUGCCUAUAUUCCUCCACCCAGGAGACGUUCCUUUACUGAAUUAGUCUUUUUAAAAACCUUAUUCCUUUCUGAAACAUCUUUCUUCAUUGGUGUUUUUACACUCUGCACCAUCACUUUCCAGAAUUUACACUUAACAUCCUCUCACUUAAUCUUCAAUAAUUACCUGCACCUUGUGUUAGUAUUCUUUUACUUGAUCACCCUCUACAGUUUAAUUAUAAGCAAUGAUGCCACUAGAGGCCGAGAUUCCAUUUAACACAAAUGCACUUCAGCUAGCUGCACUUCCAUGCAGAUCACAGAUUCUGAGUAAGGCAACUUUCUGGAGGUAAAAUUAUAUUGAUGAAAUAGAGGUUUUGGUUGCCAUCAAGGUAGCAGGAAAGAGAUAUGUUGAAUGGGAUAUAAAAUCAUGCAGGAUUAAAUCGGAGACCGCCUCUGAGCAUCAAACUAAUGUAAACCGAGAAUCAAGACAUGUAUGAUAAUUUAGAAAGGAAAACCUAAAUUUAACCAUCACAUAUUUGAAAAUAGAUAUGAAGUAUUUGCCAAUAUGGGUCCAUGUUCUGGUUUUGCUUCAUGCAAUUUCAAACUAUAAAGCUUAGCAAACCGUUAAAUAGGAAAGAAGGAAUGAUGACCCAAGAAGUACCUUGAGCUGCUUUUUGAAAAUCACCUUUGAACUCUUCAGUUGACAUAACUCUGACAACUUAUGCUCUUGGCUGCGUCAAUUAAUUGUCACAAUUGUCAUGUGCAUUUAAUGAAUGCAUCAGAUGUGCCACCCUACAACUUACGUGUAUGAAUAAUACGAGCUCACAGACCUGAUGCAUGUGCUUGCACACAAACUCAUGAGCGAGAAUGCUGUAAUUUAAAUCACAUAUUAACAGAGAAAAUCAAUCAACCUUCUGUAUUCUUUUUUCACCUCAAAGGAAGUGAAUGCUAUCCUCAACCAUGUGGCCGUAUUUAUCUCUGUCUCUUAUGGUUAGCCUAGUUUUAGGCUAUCACAAUGUCCAUGUGGAUGCUAAUAGCAAAGUUUAUUUGGACUGCACCAAUUGCUUAAACCUGUUGUCUCAGACAUGUUUAUGAAGUUUCAAUCCAUGCAUAUUGAGCAGAUUUUCUACAGCUUGUUGAGCUUCUUUUUCAGGAGAUCGCAUGAUGGACUACAUGAAUAUGGAUGAGAGAUCAAUAGGGAUGUUUUGGGUUGUUUCUUACACCAUGGCUCAACCAGUUUAUGACGCAGUGAUGAACUGGUUAUCCUCUGCUGGAGUUACGGAAUUAUUACCAGGUUCUAAUAUGCCAAAUGAGAGGGUAAUGAGGGAAGUAAGCCCAAUACCAAUGACCCUAAUCUCUGGGUUCUCAAUGAACCUAUGUUUAAAAUUGGCGUUUCAGAUGGAGGAGACUUUAUUUUCCAACCAGGUAUCCAUUAAUGGAGCUUUGUCCUUUCUACAAUUCUUGUGGAUUUUACUUUUGCUGCUCCAUCAUUGCUCAUCUUCAGCUUAAUUGGCAUGAUAUCAUCUAUUGCCACUUUGUACAGCUCUAUCCUUUUUUUCUGUUUAAUCUAUGGUUAUGCUUUGCAAUGCCCUAGUGUGAAGCAGCAGGCAUCGAAUCUAAAUCCAAGAUGAUAAUAUGCCAGUAAAUGUUGAUAAUUCAUAAAUGUUGAUAAUUCAUGCACCAUUGUUUUGUCAAUAUCAUAUAUUCUUUUCUGAAUGCAGGUUGUGCCUAGUAUUGCUAUGGUGGAAACAUAUACCAGACUGCUGCUCACUGCCCCUCACUCAUCAUUUCGCUCUCACAUCAGUGUAGGCACUUCUUUCACCCAGUCUAAGUAAUAAGUAUGCCUAAUCCGUAAUGCAAAGUUCUACCUAGUUGAGGUGACAUGACUAUGUCCCAUUUUCUGCAGCAAUUGGCUCAGAGAAAUCCGGCCUUGUUGAGUAAGCCCGGAGUGACAAUUUUGCUAUUUGAGAUUUUGAACUAUCGCUUACUUCCUCUCUACAGGUAAUUCUGAUUGGUCCAUAGAAUAUCUUAUGUUUCCAUAGUAUUUACGGUGUGCUUAACUCUAGUUAUUCCUUUUGAUGAUCGUUCAGUGUUGAAACUUCUGGGCUCCAAUUCUUGAUCAAUCUCAAUCUUUCUCCAUAGUCAUUGGAUCAAACUUUCUUUUCAGAUACCAAGGGAAAACCAAAGCUUUGAUGUAUGAUGUCACGAAAAUUAUUGCUGCUCUCAAAGGGAAGCGUGGGGAUCAUCGUGUAUUUAGAUUGACUGAGAACUUAUGCAUGAAUGUAAUUUUUUCACUGAGAGAUUUCUUUUCGGUGAAAAGGGAAGGGAAGGUGAGUAAAAUAUUAGGUGAACGUGGAACUAAUUAUCUGGUGUGUUAUCUUUUCUUGCCAGUUACUCCCAUGAUCUCAAAUGCCAAAGAUUUUUUUUUAUCUAAUUUAUUACCAAUAUUUCUUUUGGCAGGGUCCAACUGAAUUUACUGAAACUCUGAAUAGAAUGACGGUCAUUACCCUAGCAAUACUCAUUAAAACUCGUGGUGUUGCUGAUGCUGAUCACCUUCUAUAUGUUCAAACGAUGCUAGAACAAAUACUAGCAACUAGUCAACAUACAUGGUCGGAAAAGACACUACGCUAUUUCCCUUCUGUGCUUCGCGAUGCCUUGGCAGGGCGAAUUGAUAAGAAGGGCCUUGUCAUUCAAGCAUGGCAGCAGGUUCAUCAUAGAACUUAAAACCCUUUUAACUUCAGAUCUUUGUUAUCUCUACUUUUCCUAGCCAUAAUUAUUUCAAAUAAUAUUGCAUUUUUGUCUAGUAUCAUUCGUUCCUUGCACUAUAUGGAGGACUUUCACAGGAUUUUACUACCUUUUGACUAUAAAAUUCUUUUGUUCCCUUGUAUGUUUUCCACACCCCAUUUCUAUCACCAGUUCUUGCCUUAGGCAUGAGGGGUCUCGUGGCAUAUGAUUCUACUGUUUCCGAGUGUUAUAUUGUUCAGGGAUCAUUCAGUGUGCUUGUAUUUAGCCGACAAAAUGGUUGCCUUUGGAUCUGAUUCUACAUCUUAGAAUUUUAGUAUAGUUUGCAGUCUAUGGAUGAGCUAAGAUAUAGGUUCGCAUGUGUUUUGGGAGGGUCGGUUUGAAUUCAUGAUAUCUUGAAAAAGAAAUUCUGUCAACGUGAUGUUUGUCAUAUUGCUAAUUUUUGUUGGAAAGUCUCAAAAGCUUAAGUUAUUGGGUGGAAGGAGAUUACACGAAUACGAGACUCAUCUAAAUCCCAUAGACGAGUGAUUCAGGAUACUUUAACACUCUCUCACGUUUAAACCAGGCUAAGAACGACAUAUGGAAUCUGCAAAUGAGGAGGCUCACAUGCGUAACACACUUGGGGAAUAACCUAGAUGUUAGAAAGUCUAACCCAAAAGCUUAAGCCAUUUGGUGGAGGGAUCACUUGAGUAUGAGGAUCAUCUAAACCCGUGGACAAGUGAUAUAUGAUACUUUAAUAAUCUCAAAACUAGCAUAUGGGUCAAAAAUGGAAUCAAUUAAGACUUUCUUUGCAAUGAUUGUUUUACAAGCUAAAUUAACCUAUACAGCCAACAUGUGUAUCUUGUUCAUGUAUUUAAAUGUCCUCUUGGUAAAGCUUAAAUGUGGGAGACAUGCUUUAGCUUUUCAUUUAACAGGCCAGUUAUUGGACAUAUUAGUUCUCUUAUUCUACUAGGUCCCUGUUUUACUCAUGUACAGUGCAAUAUAAGUUCGGGAAAGUCCUGAAAAUUGUGCAUGAGAGGCUUUCGGACAUACUUAGUUUUUAGCUAUCAGUGUUGUAGAUUAUAUCUCAGAAUAGGGUUAAACUCUUCAUUUGCACUAUGGUCAUUACUAGUUUUCAAAUUUCAGGGUUUGCUUUAACUUUGUUCCUUUUUUUUUCCCCAGGCAGAGACAACGGUCAUAAACCAAUGCACCCAGCUUCUUUCGCCAUCUGGAGAACCUAAUUAUGUGACAACCUAUACUAGCCAUAGUUUUCCUCAGCAUCGUCAAUAUUUAUGUGCUGGAGCGUGGAUUCUGAUGCAUGGGCAUCCUGAAAACAUUAACACUACAAAUCUGGUAUUACGGCAAGCCUUACAGCACUUUGCAUGUUGCCAUGUGGUGCUGAUUAAUUAGUUGCAUGUUUCCUUAAUUGCAGAAUAGGUUUUUGGCCUAGUUUAUUUCGAUAAUAAUAAGUACUCCUUCAAUCUCUCUCUAUAACCUACAUAUAUGUGUUCUGGAUAAAAGGUGCGUGUGUUGAGGGAGUUCUCUCCUGAGGAAGUGACUGCUAAUAUCUACACCAUGGUGGAUGUUCUUCUUCAUCAAAUUCAGAUGGAACUUCAACAUGGGCAUUCCAUGCAGGUCUUUUAAUUUGAACUUUCUAGAGAUUUCAAGUGCAUAAGAACUCUCUCUCUCUCUCUACUUGUAAAAUGUAGGCAUCCAUUUUGAUCCAUGUGCAGCUCUUCCUUUUCAGGACCUCUUAUUUAAAACAAGUACCAACCUUGCAUUUCUCAUUUGGACCCAUGAGUUGCUUCCUUUGGACAUACUACUACUGGCACUUAUUGACCGUGAUGAUGACCCCCAUGCCUUACGCAUUGUGGUAAUUUUCUAAAUCUUAUAUUUGUACUUUUCGUUGCAAUUGCUUAUGUCCACUUAUCAGAUGAUAUUUGGUCUGCUAUAUUGCUUCCUCUGCUCCCCAAUCAAAUCUGGUUCUUUUCCCUUCUUGCUAGCGUGGUCUUUAAAUCAACAGUUUCAAGGGGGCAUGUCAUUAAUUUGUCUUAUGAUAACAUAAGAUAAAAAGUUUUCCCUUAUAUAUCAGGUAGCUGGGGCUCUAGUACAGAGGGUGAACACAGCGGUGCUCUUUUGGAAUUAAAUGAUAUGACAAGGCUAUGGUUGAUGAUGUUAUGGUAUUGAUGGUAUUACAAUCAAUUGCAUCUGAUGUUAUACCUAAUGGUUAAAAUUAUAGGUCAGAAGUAAUCUUAUUAUGAUGUCUUUCAACUGUCAUUAUGCAAGAGUCUGUCAUGUAGUUUAUUUUUUCUCAAGGAAUGUUUGGUUGCUUUAUAUGUUUUCACCAUGAUGAUUCAGCCAUUUGAAAUGCCUUGCUGUUUGACGAUUGUCAAUCUUCUUUUCUGUUAUAAGUGGGAGGUUCACCAUCUUGUAAUAGAAACAUCUAUUCCUAUCUUUGAUUUGGCUUAGCUUCUGAUGCUUCUCCUCACCUCAUUAUUACCUACCUUUCCUAUUGUCCUCUUACUCCGUUGACACAUCUCCCCUUAGCUUAGUAGAGAGCUGCCUUAGCUUUUGCCUCAGCAAUCUUCUAUUUCAUGAGAAGUGGUCAUUGUUUCUUUUUCCACUGUAGUUUAAAAAUUCUUAAAUGUUACCGAUCAUAAUUUGAAGAUUUUAAAAAGUGAAAGCUAGAAGCUUCUCAUCGGAUAAGUCAAGAUUAGAAGACUGUGUUGUCUUUUUUAUACGUCGGUGCUAUCAAGGCAUGGAGAAAACCUGGAUUCAAACAACUGAUAAUUUAGAAAAAUGAACCAUCUGAUACAUAGUCACAACUUGCCAAGUAGACAUUCUCAGUGGGGAAGCUUGAGGAAAGCUUGGCUCUGAAGACAGUCCUUCAGGUGGCCUAUUUUGGCACAAGCUGAAAAACAAGUGUAGGCCCUAAGAUGGUUAAUCAUUUGUUCUUUUCUAGACUGCAACUUUGUAUUUAGCCCACGCUGAGCAUUGGGUGCCUGGCCAAAAAGUCUUGACCAAUCCCAUGAUGUGUUUGACUUGCUGCUAAGCUGAUUAAAGUCUGGUGGUCCCAUUUAAGUCAUAAGAAAUAGUGUCUGAUAUGUUUGAGAAAUAAGAAGAGUCACUGGUCUGCUUGUAUAGUGGACUUCAAGUGUUUAUGGUCUCACGUUUCAAUCCUUUCGACGUAGCUUUGUCUUUUAAGUUUCCAGCUACUUGAACAGUUGUCCCUAUAAAUAAAUUCUUUAUUUAUCAAAAAAGGAAUUUUUACUUCGAUGGCAUUAACAAGCAUUAUGCUCCAGAUCAGCCUUCUUGACCGACAAGAACUUCAACAAAGAGUGAAACAAUAUAUUUUGAAUCGUGGACCUCCUGAACAUUGGACUUACCCCGGAACUUUUAAGCGUGUUGAACUGCAAAAAGCGCUUGGGAAUCAUCUCUCGUGGAAAGAUAGGUAAACUUGCUGGCAUUAUCAUCCUCUUUGAUGGCACGUGCAGAAGAAUUUGGAUUUGCUCUUUUAAUCUCAGAUGGAGAUGCAAUGUAUUUCAUUAAUCUUUAGAUAAUAACCAUUUCCUGUUAAUUGUAAGUUUAAAAGUAAAUUUGACUUACCCCAAUUUUGUUAAUUUUGGAUGAUCAACAAUUAAAAAUUGCCCUUAUUACACUGUAUGAUUAAGAACUAGCAUGUGCAUUUGUUUCAAUAGAAAAUAUUUGUAAAAAGUACGUGGGAGUUUGUAUUUUAGUUCCAGUUUUCCUUUUCUUAAAAGGCUUGCGUUCAAGAAGAGAUUUCUAAAGAAGCAUCUAAAAUACUCUUUACACAAGUAGGUUUUAAGUGCUACAGUUUUUAAAUUCUUUAACACAAGGAUUAAGUGAUUAGUUGCUGUCCCUCAUAAUUAUAGAUCUUAUCAUAGGCAAUCUCUGGUUUUCUCUUAUCAUAGGCAACCCCUGGUUUUCUCAAGUAUAAACCUUUUCUUUAUGUGGUCAAAGUCUAGUAAUUAGUUAAUGAACGGAUGUCUUGUGUGAAUGUCUCAAUCUGUUUGAAAUCUUCAAUGCAGGAAUCCUCCAUAGCAUGUAAAUAAGCUGGCAAGGAAACCUCUUUUUUCACUCUUCCUGUCUGUCUGAGUAAUGAAUGAAACCAGUUUGUCUAGUCCUUUGUCAAUAUAGGGACUUACAUGGGUUGGAUUAGCAUUUGGCCAAUCUGUUGCAUUAUGUUCAUUAAGUUGAAAACGCGGGGACUUGGUGACUAUAUUUUAGUUUCAUUUCCUCAAGAUGCUUAUUCAUAUUGCAUCACUAUUUUUUUUUCUUUUUACAUCAGAUCAAUCUAAGUUGUCUCCUCUUGAAUUGGAUAUUCACUAGGGUGAAAUCUGGAUUAGAUAAAACGAAAAUUUAUGUUUCAUGGAUUCCUUACUAUUUAUCACUGUCUACAUGUUUGUUAUGUACUAGAUCUUAAUCUUUCUCGGAACCCUUGAAACUAUAUGCAUUGUCUUUAUACUGAAUCAAGCUAAUCCAUUGUAGUCCCUCUCAAAGGCACGCAGUCACAGAAGGCAAUUCAAUAUUCACUUUUUCUCUGUACAGGGAAAAGGAGGAGCAGAAAUAACUAAUUUAUAGGAGAAGAUACUCACUUAUUUUUCUUUAGAGUAGUGUUUCUUGCUCACGUGAGAGUUGCUAGUUGAAUUGUUAGAGUCCUCCAAAAAUAGGUUUCUGAAAGCUUUUAGGGCAUAAUUCAUCUCACCAUUUAUAGUUGGAUUCUGGGUUUCUGGAGCUUUCUCGAUCUUCGGCUUACAAAUCUCCAAAUCUCCAAUUAAGUUAGUCCUGUGGCUAUGCACAUGCAAUGAAGCUCUUGUCGCAUGGAUCGACAAUAUCCUCUUAUUAUUGAAUAGGACUAAUCGUAGGGACAAUAUAGACGAUCUUCGUGGUAAGAGUCUGAAUGAUCAAAUUUUUGUGCCUUGUGCUGCAUUCGUUUUACUUGGACUGAGAACUUUCAUCAUGAACUCCUUUUUCAAGGAAGUCUUGGAAGCUGGUUUCAUCUGUACACCAACUGUUAUUGGAUAUAUUUAAUUCAGCUUUAACUUUUACUGCAGCAAUUUUUAGAGUAGUGUAAGCUAUACUUCGUGAUGGUUCCGAAUUACAGUGAUGCAUGGUCAUUGAGCUUAAUUUCCAGUUGUUACUGGACGCUUCUGUGGACUGUAUUCUAACAGUUUAUGUUGUUAUUAGUUAAUUGGGCAAAUGAUGCUUGAUGAUGCAGGUAUCCCCCAUUUUUUGAUGAUAUUGCAGCCCGGUUGCUUCCCGUGAUCCCCCUUAUUGUUUACAGACUGAUUGAAAAUGAUGCCAUGGAUCAGGCUGAAGCAGUCCUGGCUGUUUACUCUCCAUUUCUAGCUUAUCACCCUUUUCGAUUCACAUUUGUUCGUGACAUACUCGCAUAUUUCUAUGGUCAUCUUCCUGGGAAGCUCAUUGUCCGAAUUCUGAAAGUACUUGAUCUUAGCAAGGUGAAUAUCCUCUUUAUAUCUUAAUCCUUUGAAAUGCUGCUGUCUCUACAACCAUGAUGACUUGAUUUUUUUUCCAGAUUCCACUUUCUGAGUCAUUCCCACAACACAUUAGUUCCUCAAAUCCUGUCAUGUGCCCACCUCUGGAUUAUUUUGCUACUCUGCUAAUGGGUCUGGUCAACCAUGUCAUUCCUCCAUUGAGUAGUGACGCAAAAUCUGUUUCUGUUGGGGAUACUUCAAACAAUUCAGCUCGAGCUCCACAUAACAAAACUUUGCCAGCCCAACCUGGCCAAAUGAGUGCCUCAGAAGGUCAAAAGGCAUUUUAUCAAAUUCAAGAUCCCGGCACACACACUCAGCUGGUUCUGGAAACUGCUGUGAUAGAGCUGCUUUCACUUCCUGUGUCUGCAUCUCAAAUUGUGUCAUCCCUAGUUCAAAUUGUCGUUAACAUCCAACCUACCCUAAUUCAAUCUAGUAAUUGUCUGCAUGGAGCUCCAAAUGGUGUUGGACAAGGUUCAGUCCUACCAACUUCACCUUCAGGUGGAAGCACAGAUUCCUUGAGUGGCAGCAGAUCUACUCCUUCAGUUUCUGGUUUAAGUACCUCUAACUUUGUCUGGCGAAGUGCUUAUACAUGUCAACAACUGUCUUGCUUGUUGAUCCAAGCUUGUGGUCUUCUAUUAGCUCAGCUUCCCACUGAAUUUCACUCGCAACUUUAUUUGGAGGCUACGCGCGUAAUUAAGGAGAGU